rnacentral:rRNA from 1 species
GACGAACGCUGGCGGCGUGCUUAACACAUGCAAGUCGAACGGAAAGGCCCUGCUUGCAGGGUACUCGAGUGGCGAACGGGUGAGUAACACGUGGGUGAUCUGCCCUGCACUUCGGGAUAAGCUUGGGAAACUGGGUCUAAUACCGGAUAGGAGCCAUCUUUAGUGUGGUGGUUGGAAAGUUUUUUCGGUGUAGGAUGAGCUCGCGGCCUAUCAGCUUGUUGGUGGGGUAAUGGCCUACCAAGGCGGCGACGGGUAGCCGGCCUGAGAGGGUGUACGGCCACAUUGGGACGGAGAUACGGCCCAGACUCCGACGGGAGGCAGCAGGGGGGAAUAUUGCACAAUGGGCGCAAGCCUGAUGCAGCGACGCCGCGUGGGGGAUGAAGGCCUUCGGGUUGUAGACUCCUUUCGCUAGGGAAGAAGCUUUUUUGUGACGGUACCUAGAUAAGAAGCACCGGCUAACUACGUG